GCCUACGGCCAUACCCGGACCAAACGCCCCCGAUCCCAUCCGAUCUCGGAAGGUAAACCGCCCCGGGCCUGGCUAGUACUUGGAUGAGUUACCGCCUGGGAAUCCCAGAUGCCGUAGGCA
ensembl:rRNA 5S_rRNA 5S ribosomal RNA